CAGUCGACGAACUCUGGUAUUGAUUGGUGCUUGCAUCAUGAUUUACAUUUGAGUGAGUGGCGAACUGGUGAGUAACACGUGGGAAACCUGCCCAGAAGCGGGGGAUAACACCUGGAAACAGAUGCUAAUACCGCAUAACAACUUGGACCGCAUGGUCCGAGCUUGAAAGAUGGCUUCGGCUAUCACUUUUGGAUGGUCCCGCGGCGUAUUAGCUAGAUGGUGGGGUAACGGCUCACCAUGGCAAUGAUACGUAGCCGACCUGAGAGGGUAAUCGGCCACAUUGGGACUGAGACACGGCCCAAACUCCUACGGGAGGCAGCAGUAGGGAAUCUUCCACAAUGGACGAAAGUCUGAUGGAGCAACGCCGCGUGAGUGAAGAAGGGUUUCGGCUCGUAAAACUCUGUUGUUAAAGAAGAACAUAUCUGAGAGUAACUGUUCAGGUAUUGACGGUAUUUAACCAGAAAGCCACGGCUAACUACGUGCCAGCAGCCGCGGUAAUACGUAGGUGGCAAGCGUUGUCCGGAUUUAUUGGGCGUAAAGCGAGCGCAGGCGGUUUUUUAAGUCUGAUGUGAAAGCCUUCGGCUCAACCGAAGAAGUGCAUCGGAAACUGGGAAACUUGAGUGCAGAAGAGGACAGUGGAACUCCAUGUGUAGCGGUGAAAUGCGUAGAUAUAUGGAAGAACACCAGUGGCGAAGGCGGCUGUCUGGUCUGUAACUGACGCUGAGGCUCGAAAGUAUGGGUAGCAAACAGGAUUAGAUACCCUGGUAGUCCAUACCGUAAACGAUGAAUGCUAAGUGUUGGAGGGUUUCCGCCCUUCAGUGCUGCAGCUAACGCAUUAAGCAUUCCGCCUGGGGAGUACGGCCGCAAGGCUGAAACUCAAAGGAAUUGACGGGGGCCCGCACAAGCGGUGGAGCAUGUGGUUUAAUUCGAAGCUACGCGAAGAACCUUACCAGGUCUUGACAUACUAUGCAAAUCUAAGAGAUUAGACGUUCCCUUCGGGGACAUGGAUACAGGUGGUGCAUGGUUGUCGUCAGCUCGUGUCGUGAGAUGUUGGGUUAAGUCCCGCAACGAGCGCAACCCUUAUUAUCAGUUGCCAGCAUUAAGUUGGGCACUCUGGUGAGACUGCCGGUGACAAACCGGAGGAAGGUGGGGAUGACGUCAAAUCAUCAUGCCCCUUAUGACCUGGGCUACACACGUGCUACAAUGGAUGGUACAACGAGUUGCGAACUCGCGAGAGUAAGCUAAUCUCUUAAAGCCAUUCUCAGUUCGGAUUGUAGGCUGCAACUCGCCUACAUGAAGUCGGAAUCGCUAGUAAUCGCGGAUCAGCAUGCCGCGGUGAAUACGUUCCCGGGCCUUGUACACACCGCCCGUCACACCAUGAGAGUUUGUAACACCCAAAGUCGGUGGG
rnacentral:rRNA from 2 species